CAGUCGCACAGGAAGUCCUGACAGAUAGGGUGCGUGAUGCCUUUAGAUUGACACAACAUGUUCAUACCUGAUGUUUGCGGCAGAAGCUAACAACUUGAGAAGAACACAAUGAUAGUCUGGGAGAUGUUCCUUAUUCCAGUCUCCAUGGCAGUGACAGCCAUGUCGUCGACCUGUACACCCCAGAUCCUUGAUGAACCCCCAGACAAGAUCACGGUUCACCCUGGUUCCUCUCUGACUCUGAACUGCAGCGGUACAUGUCAGGGUCUUCCAGUACGGUUGAGCUGGCACUUCAGCAAUGUUUCAGAACGCGACGUAGGCAGAGGAGCCUUUACAUGCCUCAAUGAAUCCUCUGAGGAAAAGACGUGGUGCAAUUACACACUAAGAAAUUUCAAGGACAGUGGAUGGUACUAUUGUAAAGUCACAUUCGACCGGACUACAUUAUUGCAAGAAAAAAGCAGGAGAACGCGUGUUGAUGUUGCAGGGAACGAGAAGGAUGCUUUAGUGACGGCAAACCCAGUAAACAGAAACCCGGGUAUUAAAGAUGCGAUUCAGAGCAAGACGUUCCUCAUCGUCUCUGGAGUGUCCGCGCUCCUCCUCCUCAUGCUGGUGGUGAUGAUCUGUGUUAUUCAGAGAAGAAGGCGAAGGCACAAAGAGAUGACCUGCCCCAUUUAUGGUAACACCCGUCCACCACCGGGGGCCAGCAGGCAGCAAACCAGCAAACCAGACCCUCUGGUGGCCAGCGGAGUCCCCCCAAAGGCCUUAACACCCCUGAAAACAAAGUGUCGAGAUGUCUCUUAGCAAGACACCUCACCCUAACUACUUCCGACGAGUUGGCUGUCACCUUGUACGGUUGCAUGCCAUCGAUUUGAAUGUAUGAAUGAAAAAAAAGAAUAUAUAUGUAUAUAUAUUUAUUCUCUAACCUCGUGGACAUAGUGUAUUUAAUAGCUUAUAUGUUUUUAUAAAGGACCAAAUGUAUAGUGUUUAUUUAACAUUUAAUGUUUAUUUCGCAUUUACAAUAUCUAAUUAAUAUUUUUGGUGCAAUAUUUCUCCCUUACUCAAUUUGGCUGUAGUUGAAAUAGCUCUUGGAUAAUUCUUAUGUGGUGUUCGGAUUUCUUUUUUUUGCGCAUGUAUUUGGAUAAACCUUCAAACAGAGCUUAGGAAUGUAUCAUUUGCAUUGAUUUACUCUUUUGAGUUUCUCACUGUGUGCUAGAUAUAAUAAAUGUCAACUACUUUGGAAAAAAUGUGUAAAAGUCCAUUACAGACAUGAUCAGGUGAUAACUGAGAAAGUCUGUAGCCCUGAGCAGGUCUGUACCCCUGAAGGUCUACCCCUGAAAGUCUGUACCCCUGAGAAGUAGUAUGUGCCCCUGAGAAGGUCUUUACCGCUGAGGGUCUGACUGUAGCCCUGCGCAGGUCUGUAGGCCUACUACACAGUACCUUAGGGCUGGGUACCGAUACCAAUAGAGUGCUUCAUUCUAUACUUAAUUCUUUCUACUACAUUCGAUACCCAUUAGGUGAGGGAAGGAAUCAGUUGCUUUAAAGGACACGCGUGGCGUCUCGGCAACCUGAACAGCCAGCUCCGGCUGCCACUCCGCGCUCGACUUCGACGCCACAGAUUGUAUGGGUUGUAGCUGAUGCGGUUAUGGGCCAAUCACACUGCGCAAGAUAGAACAUCAGCUGGCGGUGAUUGGCUGCGAGAAAAAUCAUACAAAUACAAAUUUAAAAAGCAUUGAAUGCAUUUUGUCCAGCCUUCGCGGUAUCGUAAUUUGUGGUCUUUGAAACCGUGUAACGUUUUUAAGUUCUAAUGUCUAUCUUCGAUCCAAAGACUGAGACUAAUCCAAGUAAGAUGAUCAGAAUAAAUAUCGAGGAUAUCCCGUUCACUGAGGCAGUCAGGAAAUUACUGGCGGAGAACUUGCAGGAGCAGGCGGAAGAGAGGGCACAGAAGGAGGAGAAGGAACAGCAGGAAGAGAAGGAACAGCAGGAAAAUAAGGGACAGGAGGGGAAGAAAGGCACAGGAGGAGAAGUCCCGGCAGGAGAGGAAAAGGCUGAGGAGAAGAAGGAGCAGAGAAGGCAGCUGGAGAAGGCAAUGUGAACAAUGUGAUUUUAAAUGCCACCCUGGCCUACAUUAAAGUUGAACUUGAUGACA